GAUGAACGCUGGCGGCGUGCCUAAUACAUGCAAGUCGAGCGAACGGACGAGAAGCUUGCUUCUCUGAUGUUAGCGGCGGACGGGUGAGUAACACGUGGAUAACCUACCUAUCAGACUGGGAUAACUUCGGGAAACCGGAGCUAAUACCGGAUAAUAUUUUGAACCGCAUGGUUCAAAAGUGAAAGACGGUCCUGCUGUCACUUAUAGAUGGAUCCGCGCUGCAUUAGCUAGUUGGUAAGGUAACGGCUUACCAAGGCAACGAUGCAUAGCCGACCUGAGAGGGUGAUCGGCCACACUGGAACUGAGACACGGUCCAGACUCCUACGGGAGGCAGCAGUAGGGAAUCUUCCGCAAUGGGCGAAAGCCUGACGGAGCAACGCCGCGUGAGUGAUGAAGGUCUUCGGAUCGUAAAACUCUGUUAUUAGGGAAGAACAUAUGUGUAAGUAACUGUGCACAUCUUGACGGUACCUAAUCAGAAAGCCACGGCUAACUACGUG
rnacentral:rRNA from 1 species